rnacentral:rRNA from 1 species
CCUACGGGGGGCAGCAGUGGGGAAUAUUGGACAAUGGGGGGAACCCUGAUCCAGCGACGCCGCGUGAGUGAAGAAGUAUUUCGGUAUGUAAAGCUCUAUCAGCAGGGAAGAAAAUGACGGUACCUGACUAAGAAGCCCCGGCUAACUACGUACCAGCAGCCGCGGUAAUACGUAGGGGGCAAGCGUUAUCCGGAUUUACUGGGUGUAAAGGGAGCGUAGGCGGCAUGGCAAGCCUGAAGUGAAAACCCAGGGCUCAACUCUGUGACUUGCUUUUGGA